UACGAAGGGUGCAAGCGUUACUCGGAAUUACUGGGCGUAAAGCGUGCGUAGGUGGUUUGUUAAGUCUGUUGUGAAAGCCCCGGGCUCAACCUGGGAAUGGCAAUGGAUACUGGCAAGCUAGAGUGCGGUAGAGGGUAGUGGAAUUCCCGGUGUAGCGGUGAAAUGCGUAGAGAUCGGGAGGAACACCAGUGGCGAAGGCGGCUACCUGGACCAGCACUGACACUGAGGCACGAAAGCGUGGGGAGCAAACCGG
rnacentral:rRNA from 1 species